ensembl:ncRNA lncRNA:CR46126 long non-coding RNA:CR46126
GGUGGACAUGCCACUAGAGUAAUUGUUAUCCUUGCUGGCUGUGCACAGGCACGUAAAGCCCUUAAAACAUGGACCGAAUAAGAGGAAGAGAGAGAGAGAGAGAGAGAAAGAGGGAGAGAGUGGCAGAGAGAGAGAGAGAGAAGACUAACAGGACGAAAGGGAACAGGCUAAACAACAACGGCACUUCACGGCACGAGCCGUGCAGCAGCAGCUGAAACAAUCCUAUAAGCAGCACUCAGCGGCACGCACUUGAAGCCCCGGAUCCGAGGGCUCGUGCUCGUACUCCUACCAGAACCGAGACCCAAACCCAAACCCACACCCGGACCCGGAAAAGUGGAGCGAACAGUCCGGGCAGCUAAAACUGCAAUCGCAGCUGGCUCCGG